GUAAUGUUUUAUUUGUUAGCAUAGCAUGAUAUUAGAUUUAAACACUUUAUACAUUUUUAAAUCAAUCACUUUGUCUCUGUUUACAUUAGUUAAUGCACAAUGAACAUUAUCAAAUAUUAUUAAUGUUGUAAAAUAUAUUGUUCAUUGUUAGUUCAUAUUAGCUAAGGCAUUACCAAAUGUUAAGGAAUAAACUCUUAUAGUAAAGUGUUACUAAAUUUUCUUUUACCAUUUCCUUCACAAUGUCUAUUUAUUUCUAUGGCUAACAGAUUUUGUAACAUUUGUCUUUUUUACAGUCUUACCAUUGCUUGUAAGCUGGAUUGGGUAAGAUGGAUCAUCUUUAAAGGCACCAGUUUACCUGAGUGUCCUUGCACUUUAUCAGGAGUUAAGGCAGAUGUGGAGGCACAACGGGUGAUACCAGACACACACCAAGCACAUUAUGUUCGGACAUUCAAUCAUGACAGGAUCCAGGUGGAUGCUGUCCAUUGAGAAAAGAGUUUGUUCAGCGGUUUCUGGAUAGAAUUAAUUCCAAAGAUGGGAAAAAGUGCACAUCCAGACAAGGAGCAAGCAAAAAGACAAGGAACUUGGUGCAGAGAAAAGCUGUGGCCAUUAACCCCCAUGUGAACAGCUUCAUGCAGUCCCUGAUUGAGUUCGAAUGGACGACUUCAAACUAAAGGCCACUGUGGUCUGUCUGCCACAGUUUAAUGCAUUUAUUUUUAGUGUUAAAUGAAAUUCAAGUAGAAUAUUUAAAACUAUGGGCCAGUGUUCUUUUUACCACAGUGAAAUGUUACCUUUUAGUCGAUGAUGGACUUUAAACUGAAAACUUCAAACUAUGGAACAGUGUUCUAUUUGCCAGAGUUAAAUAUGUUACAGCAGGGGUCUCCAAACUUGUUUAUACUUGUUGAUUUUAUUUUAUGUUACUUGAUUAUAUGUUUAUUAUUGUUUAAAAUCUUGUUUUAAAUAUGUUUGUUUCAAUUAAAUGUUUUUUUAAAUAAAAUUUUGAUACAUACA